UGUGUAGGCGGUUGUUUAAGUUUGGUGUGAAAUCUCCCGGCUCAACCGGGAGGGUGCGCCGAAUACUGAAUGACUAGAGUGCGGGAGAGGAGAGUGGAAUUCCUGGUGUAGCGGUGAAAUGCGUAGAUAUCAGGAGGAACACCGGCGGUGUAGGCGGCUCUCUGGACCGUAACUGACGCUGAGACACGAAAGCGUGGGUAGCAAACAGGAUUAGAUACCCUGGUAGUCCACGCCCUAAACGAUGCAUAUUUGGUGUGGGCAGUUCAGUCUGUCCGUGCCGGAGCUAACGCGUUAAAUAUGCCGCCUGGGGAGUACAGUCGCAAGGCUGAA
rnacentral:rRNA from 1 species